rnacentral:rRNA from 2 species
CAUAAUCAUUUGUCUUUUAAUUAAAGACUAGAACAAAAGAUUGAACAUUUUAAUUAAUAUAUCCAAACUAAUUAAUUAAAUUUAUUUUAAAUGUAAAAAAACAUUUAUAAAUUAGAAAGACGAUAAGACCCUAUUAAACUUAACUUAAGUUAAACUGGGGCAGUUAAUUAAUUAUCAUUUUAAUUUAAAUACAAAAACAAAUAGAUCCUAUAAAAUAGAUUAAAUGAUCAAGUUACUAUAGGGAUAACAGCGUAAUAUUAAUUAAAAGACCUUAUUAAAAUAAAAGAUUACGACCUCGAUGUUGAAUUAAUAACCUAUAUAGUAAACAAUAAAGGAAGUC